rnacentral:rRNA from 1 species
UACGUAGGGUGCUAGCGUUGUCCGGAAUUAUUGGGCGUAAAGAGCUUGUAGGCGGUUUGUCGCGUCUGCUGUGAAAUUUCGGGGCUCAACCCCGAACUUGCAGUGGGUACGGGCAGACUAGAGUGUGGUAGGGGAGACUGGAAUUCCUGGUGUAGCGGUGAAAUGCGCAGAUAUCAGGAGGAACACCGGUGGCGAAGGCGGGUCUCUGGGCCGUAACUGACGCUGAGGAGCGAAAGCAUGGGGAGCGAACAGG